rnacentral:misc_RNA from 1 species
GGAAGUAAAGGUCGUAACAAGGUUUCCGUUGGUGAACCAGCGGAAGGAUCAUUACAGAGUUCAUGCCCUUCGGGGUAGACCUCCCACCCUGUUUAAUUACUAUUGUUGCUUUGGCUGGCUGCCCUCACCAUGGGGCGUCCGGGUUCCGCCCGCGUCUUGCCUGCCAGAAGCCCCCUAAUUCUGUGUUCUGUGUCGUCUGAGUACUAUAUAAUAAGUUAAAACUUUCAACAACGGAUCUCUUGGUUCUG